rnacentral:rRNA from 3 species
UCGACCUCAGAGCAGGUGAGACUACC